AGAUAAGUCCCUGCGGAGGGGGGGUUAGCCGAUAACUAGCCCUUAAUUUGUUCGAGCCAAGUCUUAUCUU
rnacentral:tRNA from 1 species